GCGAGAAAACUUUGCAAUGUGCGAAAGCACGACAAGGUUAAUCCGAGUGGUUUCUGCUAAAGAAACCUUUUGUCAGUCCUAGAAACACUAACGAAUAAGGGGUGGGCAAGUUCUGGUGUCAGCCGCCGCGGUAAAACCAGCACCUCAAGUGGUCAGGAGGAUUAUUGGGCCUAAAGCAUCCGUAGCCGGUUCUGUAAGUUUUCGGUUAAAUCCACUAGCUUAACUAAUGGGCUGCCGAAAAUACUGCAGAACUAGGGAGUGGGAGAGGUAGACGGUACUCGGUAGGAAGGGGUAAAAUCCUUUGAUCUAUUGAUGACCACCUGUGGCGAAGGCGGUCUACCAGAACACGUUCGACGGUGAGGGAUGAAAGCUGGGGGAGCAAACCGGAUUAGAUACCCUUGUAGUCCCUGAGCGGGCUGGCAAGGCGCAU
rnacentral:rRNA from 1 species